AGCCGCGGUAAUUCCAGCUCCAAUAGCGUAUAUUAGGGUUGUUGCGGUUAAAAAGCUCGUAGUUGAAUUUCGGGAUUGGGAUAUAUCGGUCGUGCCUUUAGGGGCAUGAAUCGGUGUGUGGCCAAUUCUCACCUUCUGGUGAAUUGGGAUGCUCUCGGGUGUUUCAAUGAACUAGGACUUUUACUUUGAAAAAAUUAGAGUGUUUAAAGCGGGCAUUUUUGCUUGAAUACGUUAGCAUGGAAUAAUAAAAUAGGACGAUGGUUCUAUUUUGUUGGUUUUAGGACCACGUAAUGAUUAAUAGGGAUAGUUGGGGGCAUUAGUAUUCAAUUGUCAGAGGUGAAAUUCUUGGAUUUAUUGAGGACUAACUACUGCGAAAGCAUUUGCCAAGGAUGUUUUCAUUAAUCAAGAACGAAAGUUAGGGGAUCAAAGACGAUUUAUGUACGUCGUAGUCUUAACCAUAAACUAUGCCGACUAGGAAUCAGACAAAGUUAAUUUUUUAACGACUUGUUUGGUACCUUACG
rnacentral:misc_RNA from 1 species